rnacentral:tRNA from 1 species
GGCCCCAUCGUCUAGUGGCCUAGGACGUAUGGUUCUCAGCCAUAAAACACGGGUUCGACUCCCGUUGGGGCUACCA